CACUCCUGCGGGAGGCAGCAGUGGGGAAUUUUGGACAAUGGGCGAAAGCCUGAUCCAGCAAUGCCGCGUGUGUGAAGAAGGCCUUCGGGUUGUAAAGCACUUUUGUCCGGAAAGAAAUCCUUGGCUCUAAUACAGUCGGGGGAUGACGGUACCGGAAGAAUAAGCACCGGCUAACUACGUGCCAGCAGCCGCGGUAAUACGUAGGGUGCGAGCGUUAAUCGGAAUUACUGGGCGUAAAGCGUGCGCAGGCGGUUUGCUAAGACCGAUGUGAAAUCCCCGGGCUCAACCUGGGAACUGCAUUGGUGACUGGCAGGCUAGAGUAUGGCAGAGGGGGGUAGAAUUCCACGUGUAGCAGUGAAAUGCGUAGAGAUGUGGAGGAAUACCGAUGGCGAAGGCAGCCCCCUGGGCCAAUACUGACGCUCAUGCACGAAAGCGUGGGGAGCAAACAGGAUUAGAUACCCCAGUAGUCCCAUGA
rnacentral:rRNA from 1 species